UAUAACCAUAUUUUGGUGUGUUAUUGCUGGAUGUGUCUUUAGCUGUAUGUGUCUUCUGACCAGUUGAUGACCCAAAACAAGAUUGCAGCGAACCCAGCGGGAACGAUAGUGGGGUCAUGGAAGGUGCCACAAGAGAGGAUACAAUGGGCACAGGUCUUGAAAGAGAAGACGCGAACCACACAAUAAGACCUGAGGGGUGCAGAAAAGGAUCUGAUCGCAGAGAGGGUUUUAGAAACGGACCGAUGGACACGGAUGCACAUGCAAUUGCAUCGGAAGGUGAUGACGAUGACGACGAGCCCAUUGCAAAGAGACUGCAUCGAAAACAUGAUUGGACAAGGACACCUCAAUCUUGUAUGACAGAAGGGGAGACCGGAACGACUAGCGAGAUAGACAAAAUAGAGAACCCAAAAGGAUCCGACAUGAAGGCGGGAAUUAGUAGCACCUCAGUAAUAAAAAAUGCUCAUUCAAUUACAUUCGACAAAGAUGACGAUGAUGACCAGCCCAUUGGCAAGAGACUCCGCAUCAAAAUGCACCAAAGAAAAACACCAUAGCAUCAGAGGACAGAAUUGAAAAUCAUCACAACCAACCUGCCAGAAACAACAAAGCAACCAACCAAGACGGAUGAUCUUGAACCAAAAGCUCUGACAACAGCAUUGGUUGAGUAUUCAGGAAUUGAGGGAUAUUCUAGUGAAAAGCUAUGGGUAGAUAUCGAAUGACGUUACCCAUUGAGACCAUUAGCGUCAAUCGAAUCCAAACAAUUAUUCCAAAAGGUUCUUCCUACCGCACACCUAGUCCACAGUGCCCAUCAUUCUCACUUGGGAUGACGCAGAUCUUUAAAACACCCGCACUAUCCCCCCUCGACCCAUUCAUCCGUUACUUCGGGGACAGAAACUCAUUGAGUGGGAUGAACAAAGAAUCAGAGGGUAGGGUGUGGACACAUCUCUUGAUAUCCAGUAAACAGUGGCGUCGUAUGAGGGUAGACCACACCUAGUGCUGGCAAGGGAGGACUUAUGCACGCUGAGACCACGUGCUUGGCUCAAUAACAAUGUCGUGCACUAGAUGUGUUAUGCAUUCAAUUACUCAGGGUUAAGAAGAUUCAUGCAUGACUUCUACUGUGUGUGUACGGGGAUUCUGGAAAUGCUGUUGGUCCCAAAGAAUAUGAUGCAAUUUUAGGACGGGUCAAAUCUGGUGUAUGUGGGAUUGGGUGAACACUUUGGUGCUGAUACAAGGUAUUUUGACAAGGUAACAACUUCAAAGAGAAAACGGGUAAGUCUAUUUGUCAUAUGAUAAGUUACUAUCACGUUGCACCCGAACAAUGGCUAUGUAUUUUUCUUUAUAAGUGCACGUAAUAUGCCUAAUUACAAUUGUAUAUUGUUGCAAUAGUUUUUCUCUGUAUGUAUAACCCAUCACUGGUGGGUGUAUGCAUUUGAUGUAUCUGGAAUAAGACUGUUUGUACUAGAUAAUUUACACAAUAAACCACAUGAUACAGCACGGAGCAAGCUAGAUGCAUAUCCGGUACCACAACAUCUCAUCACUCUUAGUCUCUAUUUAAUUCUUGUUAUUAUAUUCUGUUUAAGUGUUUUGAAUGUGGUUUAGGUGAGGCUCAUUGAAGACAUAGCACAGGUGGCCAUCCCCACUUAUAAGCCCACUCAACAAGGGCUGCCUUGCACAUAUGCCACUAUUCCAAUAUAACCAAAUGGUUUUGAUUGUGGGGUGUGCGUAAUAAAAUUCAUGGAGUACUGGACCAAAGGCGGGAGUAUGAAUGACUGGGAU